rnacentral:rRNA from 1 species
AUGAGUAGGGCGGGACACGUGGUAUCCUGUCUGAAUAUGGGGGGACCAUCCUCCAAGGCUAAAUACUCCUGACUGACCGAUAGUGAACCAGUACCGUGAGGGAAAGGCGAAAAGAACCCCGGCGAGGGGAGUGAAAAAGAACCUGAAACCGUGUACGUACAAGCAGUGGGAGCACAGGUUUACCUGUGUGACUGCGUACCUUUUGUAUAAUGGGUCAGCGACUUAUAUUCUGUAGCAAGGUUAACCGAAUAGGGGAGCCGGAGGGAAACCGAGUCUUAAUUGGGCGUUAAGUUGCAGGGUAUAGACCCGAAACCCGGUGAUCUAGCCAUGGGCAGGUUGAAGGUUGGGUAACACUAACUGGAGGACCGAACCGACUAAUGUUGAAAAAUUAGCGGAUGACCUGUGGCUGGGGGUGAAAGGCCAAUCAAACCGGGAGAUAGCUGGUUCUCCCCGAAAGCUAUUUAGGUAGCGCCUCGUGAACUCAUCUCCGGGGGUAGAGCACUGUUUCGGCUAGGGGGCCAUCCCGGCUUACCAACCCGAUGCAAACUGCGAAUACCGGAGAAUGUUAUCACGGGAGACACACGGCGGGUGCUAACGUCCGUCGUGAAGAGGGAAACAACCCAGACCGCCAGCUAAGGUCCCAAAGUCAUGGUUAAGUGGGAAACGAUGUGGGAAGGCCCAGACAGCCAGGAUGUUGGCUUAGAAGCAGCCAUCAUUUAAAGAAAGCGUAAUAGCUCACUGGUCGAGUCGGCCUGCGCGGAAGAUGUAACGGGGCUAAAUCAUGCACCGAAGCUGCGGCAGCGACACUCAGGUGUUGUUGGGUAGGGGAGCGUUCUGUAAGCCUGUGAAGGUGUGUCGUGAGGCAUGCUGGAGGUAUCAGAAGUGCGAAUGCUGACAUAAGUAACGAUAAAGCGGGUGAAAAGCCCGCUCGCCGGAAGACCAAGGGUUCCUGUCCAACGUUAAUCGGGGCAGGGUGAGUCGACCCCUAAGGCGAGGCCGAAAGGCGUAGUCGAUGGGAAAC